GAAAAAACUGGAGAGAUGGGGGAUGGAAGCCUGGGAGUCACAUUUUUUCAAGCAAGACAUCACAGAGGGUGAGGCCCAGUGACAGAGAUGACAGAUAUUCAAAGAUGGAAUGAAAGAGGUUUGGUGACUGGAUAUAAGCAACGAAACAGGAAGAAUUGAAUUUGGGUCUGAUAUUUCCUGGAUGCAAGAUCAGGAGGAUGUUGGCACCAUGGCUUAGUGGGGAAACUGGGGACCGAUUCUGGAGGUAUACCAGCAUGGUGAGUUUGGUUUUAGAUGGGUUGUGUUUGACAUAGGGCUAGCAAUUCUAAGUGAAGAUGUCUAAAGAAAGAUAGAAGUGACUCAGCUCUGAAGUUCUGAAAUGAUCAGCCAUCAGCGUGGCAUGAGGAAGACCUAGGAACAGACAGACUGGGGAGAAGACACAGAGCCAAGCAGGACCUGGCCUGCAGCCCAAACCCUGUGGAAUCCCUACAUUCAAGGACCAGGUUGAAGUGAAGCCAUUGACAGGAACUGAGAUGCAGUAGUGUUCUGGAAGUCAAGUGAGGAGGAGGAUUGAAGAAGAGGUUGGUCAAAAUUCUGGGGGGUUGCCCAGUGGAAACACCAGACUGCAAAGCUUUGAGAAGUCUGUAUGAGAUGAACAACUGGAAAAGGUUCUUCGUGAAGAAUUUGUGUGGUGAAGAGCUGGAAUAGCGGCUUGAGGGAGAGAAGCCA
rnacentral:lncRNA from 1 species